CGCGCCGUCAGUUCUGUCCCGCCUCGCCUUCCUGCUGCGGGCUUCUGCCUCUCAGUGUCCAACUUUCGAGUUUUCUUGCCUUUUUUUGCUGUGAGUUGAGCCCCUACCGGGUCGUUUAGUCCCGCGGUCACGGGGAACGGUGGAGUUGAGAACCUGUGAUGAAACUCACCAGAGCAUACAUAGCUAGAGAAUGGCCGAACUGGAUUUUAAAUCUAGUCAAUCUUGACCCCAGAGCUCUCCAGCCUAAAGGAGUCAUCAUCCACAUUCCACAGAUGAGAAAAAGAAGCUUGGAGAAGGAGGCUUUAGGCUGCACAAUUAUUGCUGAGUAGAGCUGAAAUUCCAACCAUGUUUCUGUGGCUCCGAAGUCUGUACCUCUACCACCUGAUAUAAAAGACCAUGUGAUCACAACACAAGCUACAAAUAGCUCUGACUAAAUGUAAGCUAUCCUGGAAUUCAUCCCUUAAAUGGAGUGAUCUGCUUGGAGAUUUUUUAAAAAAGAAACAGAGAUCAGCAAAUUAUAGCUCCAACCUUGCUCACCAAAUAACCUGAGGCUGCUUCCAGUCUACAAGGGCAGAGCUGAGUAGUUGUGACAGAAACCACAUGAUCCACAGAAUUCAAAAUAUUUACCAUUUGCAGAAAAAGCAUGCUAAUCUGACCUCUGGGAGAGAACUUUUGUCAGUCAAUAUCUAGUGUUGUCCCAGGAAGACAGACUCAAUGUCUAGCAGACACUGGAAAGCCUACCUUGUAUAAGUGCAAGGGGAUCUGCUGACCCUUCCCCAUUUACUAAAGUGAGUAAAUUCCCCUCACCUUGACCUAUUAUCUGUCAAGGAAUCUCAUCACAAAUACAAUUUUCUAAGUACCAUAACAACUCAGAGCAUCCAUGAAGAAAAACAGGUAAUAGUUGCUAUGAAAAUGUGACCAAAUUGUAAAUUAAUAGUUUAAUAUGCUGGAUUUAAAAUCACCACACUAUGAAUUUAUGAUUGGUAUGAAACUUGUAAGUAGAUCUGAUCAUAUCUAAAAGAACUGUUAAAAUUGAGUUUCUGAACUUUGCCAAAAUCAAAGAUUAGUAUUCUUAAUGACUCAAAAAGACAGAUAAAUGAAAAAUAAGAAAAAUUAAAUUAAGAAAGUUAGCCAGCCUCUUAAUGUACAUCAUUUUAUCAGUAUCUUUCAUGCAUUAAAUUA